GCCGUGGUGCUGGAAUUGGUAGACAGGCUAGCUUGAGGGGCUAGUGCUUGUAAAAGCGUGCGAGUUCAAGUCUCGCUCACGGCACCA
rnacentral:tRNA from 1 species